CUUCUCGUCUCCUCAGUGUCUUUAUAAGCUUCAGUCUCUCUUCUCCUCACACUCCAACCCUGCUCACCUCUCAGCUGGACAGUAAGACACGUUUACACCACACACUGACAACAUGCUGGGGACCCUCUGCACUCUCAUCACUGCUCUAACAUAUGUUGAUGCAGUCAAAGUGCUGACCCAGACGCCUGCUGUCCACACAGUUUCUACAGGACAAGAGGUUGUUCUCAAAUGUAACAUUCAGAGAGAUGAUGAUGCAGAUGUCAGCUGGUAUAAACAGGUUCCUGGUGAAGCGCCUCAGUAUGUUCUGAGAUUUUACCAUAGUGACAGUUCACCUGACUUUGGAACAGGAUUCUCCUCAGACCGAUUCAACUCUAAAGCUUCAUCAAACAUAGAUUACCAGUUCAUCAUUAAGAGAGCAGAGGCAGGAGACUCUGCUGUGUAUUACUGUCACACAUGGGACGACUCUGCUAAGGAGGACGUAUCACACGGGGGUUACACUUGUCCAAAAACCUCCUCACUAACAUACUUUGCCUUUGUUGAGCUACCUGAACAUCAACAUUAA